GAAAUGCGAUAAGUAGUGUGAAUUGCAGAAUUUAGCGAAUCAUCGAAUCUUUGAACACACAUUGCGCCCCUUGGUAUUCCAUGGGGCAUGCCUGUUCGAGCGUCAUUUCAACCCUCAAGCACUGCUUGGUGUUGGGCGUUUGUCCCGCCUACGCGCGUGGACUCGCCUCAAAGUCAUUGGCAGCUGUUCCCCUUCGGCUCGUAAGCACAGCACAGUCGGCGCCCGGAGCUCUGGUGGGAUGGCGUCCAGCAAGCUAUAUUUUCAGGCUUGACCUCGGAUCAGGUAGGGAUACCCGCUGAACUUAAGC
rnacentral:misc_RNA from 1 species